UACGGGGGGGAGCAAGCGUUGUUCGGAUUUACUGGGCGUAAAGGGCGCGUAGGCGGCCACCGCAAGUCGGUUGUGAAUACUCUGGGCUUAACCCAGAAAGGUCAAUCGAUACUGCGGGGGCUAGAGUGCAGAAGGGGCAACCGGGAAUUCUCGGUGUAGCGGUGAAAUGCGUAGAUAUCGAGAGGAACACCUGCGGCGAAGGCGGGUUGCUGGGCUGACACUGACGCUGACAGCGCGAAAGCUAGGGGAGCGAACGGG
rnacentral:rRNA from 1 species